GUGAAAAAAUUUAGUGAAACAUAGAAAAAUAUCAUGUGUUAUUAGUGCAAAUUUUUGAACUUUUAAUCGUGAAUAUUUUUGGAUAUUCCUUCUCUGGAGAAGUUCUCCUAUCUGCACAUACCCCAUUUAUACGGAAAUUCGUUUUUUUUUACCCCUUCGACAGAGUAAUCGGAAUCGUGCCCGUCCGAGGAUUUCGGGAAUAAAAGGGUAUGGUCGGAUAGAGGAGGCUCUCCCGAUCAAGAAUAUAUUUUUCGAGAUAUUUGCGUUUAAAGUUGAUAAUUACCACUAUUUAAAUUACAUAUUUUUCGAUUUGAAAUUAAUAUUACACUGAUAUUUUGCUUUUUUAUAUCCACUAGCACUACACUAACUCGUUUGUAUGCAUUUGUUUUACAUUAUAUUAUGCUAAAAUAGUCAAUAUUUAACUUACUGUUCAAAUCUAGUUACUCAACAAUAACGGAAGAGCAACAAAUUGUCAAAUAAUCAGUGUAACCAUACUAAUAUGUUUUAAAAAACGAACAAAUAUGCAAUGGAAAGACAGGUUAACAAAAGGAAUUUUACGCGAAGAAACUUGACACACUCCGGUAUUGGACCGACCAGGGUUAUUUUUUUAAGCGCUGCCGAAGUCCGCAAACGCAAACAGGUGUUUUAUGCGAAAAGAAAACUUGACACACUCCGGUGUUGGACCGAUCAGGGUUGUUUUUUUGAAGCGCGGCCGAAGGCUCCACUGGCGAAUAAUAAAACGAUUUUUUUCGAUAGACAACUGCAAAAAUCCUUUUAUUGGGUAUAAUAUAUUUUCUUUAUGUCUUUUAGUCCAUUUACAAAAUGUCGAUAAGGCUACGCUGAUUAUUUGACAGACUGCAACCCUUUAGUUCUUGUCAAAUAAAUAGAUUUGAACAAUAAGUUUAAUGUUGAUAUAAAACCAUUUUUGCACUAUAUAAUGUAAAAUAGAUGUGUACAAACGAUUUAUUGAAAUGUUAGUGAACAUAAAAAUGAAAAACAUAAGUGUAAAAUUAAUUUAAAAUCGAAAAAAAUGUGUAAUUCAUAUAGUGGUGAUUUUCAACUUUAAAAAUAAAUAUCUUGAAAACUAUAAGUUUCCUGCGGUUAUAUCUAUAUAUAUUCUUGAUCUGGUAAACCUCCUUCAUCCACCCAUUCCCAUUUUAUUCCCGAAAUCCUGGGACGGUAUACUAAAGUUUUCCCAAAAAACUGUAACAAACGUUUAUAACUUAAAUGGAAAUUGUUAAAUCUAUUUAAAACAUACUUUCUUCAGCAAUUUAACGGCGAAAUAUGUCUUUAUGUAAAACGACAGCUAAAACAGGGUUGCAAUCAUAUUUUUACGUGUCAUUCUUCUUCUUCUUAAUUGGCGUAGACACCGCUUACGCGAUUAUAGCCGAGUUAACAACAGCGCGCCAGUCGUUUCCUCUUUUCGAAAGGUGGCGCCAAUUGGAAAGUAAAAUCUAAGCCAGGUCCUUCUCCACCUGGUCCUACCAACGGAGUGGAGGUCUUCCUCUUCCUCUGCUUCCCCCGGCGGGUACUGCGUCGAAUACUUUUAGAGGUGGAGUGUUUUCAUCCAUUCGGACAACAUGACUUAGCCAGCGUAGCCGCUGUCUUUUACGGGACAGGACGGGAAUUAUGAGUGACUUAUAGAGUUUGGUUUUUGUUCGUCGAGAGAGGACUUUGCUUCUCAAUUGCCUACUCAGUCCGAAUUAGCACCUGUUGGCAAGAGCAAUUGCCCUCAAAGCCCCAACACACCCCAAUUAUGUAUUGAUUGUUUUCCAAAAUAUACGCACCUUAAAAACUAAUAUAUACACUAAUAUAUAAUAAUCAAACACAAAAUGUACCUUAGAGAUUUUAUAAUAAAGCAAACAAAAAUUAUCAUAGCGCUAUGAAAAUUGGACCAAAUUGUUCUGCAAACAUCAGCCUACGAUGGAAACAUAAAAACUUUCAAAUAACGUCACACGAAUGCGUACGACAAGGUAGAAUGCGAAACAUCCUCUGUAGUACACUUCCGUGCGACGUGGCACCCCAUGAAGUAUUAGGAGUCGUACAAAACGUCCGACAUGGCACUCAAUGUGUUAAGGGUGUUUUCCACCUACAAAAUGGUGCUGUGCUUUUCGGAAUCCUUGCUGGUGGUUGGCUAAGCUCAGGUAGUGAGUGAAGGUCGGGAGUAGGUAGCAAGGCCUAAAGUGUGUUCACUACUAGGGAGUUAUCGGACGAUAGGACUCCCCUUUGUUGGUGAGUUUUUCAGGUUUCAGUAGUGGGACUACUCUUCCGAUUUUCCACACAUCGGGUAUUUGAAGAGUGGUCAGCGACAGGUUGAGGACCUUGGUAAGAUAGCUUACUUCCGUCGAGCCCUUUCCACACCAAUGGUAUGAGUUCUUGUAAUAUUCGUGCUGGGCGAAUUUGGUUGUUUAGCUUUAGUGGUUUAGGAGAUAUAUACAUUAAACUUAUUAGAGGGCGGAGUCACGCCCACUUUUUCAAAUUUUUUUGCCAAGAUGUGCCCCUGGCUACUGCGAUCCUCUGUGCAAACUACAGUUUUAUAUCUUAAUUUAGUGCUCUGUUAUGGCAUUUUAUAGGUUUUCAGUUAAUGUCGAUUUGUGGACGUGGCAAUAGUCCGAUUAUGCCAAUCUACGAACUCCUAAUGUUCUUUGUACUAAGAAACCUGCAUAUCAAGUUUCUCAUUUUUUACUAAAAUUACAGCUUGCACGGUCGGACGGACAGACGGACAGUUAAGCGGAUUUAAACUUUUCUUGUUACCCUGAUCACUUAUAUAUAAGAUGUCGUGUUCGAUUAGAUUUAGGUGAUAUGUACAACCGUUAGGUGAACCAGAGAACAUAAAACAUAGAGAAGGUGCAAAUUGAAUUCUGUAUGAUGUUCGAUUGGACGGCUAACAGAGCUUAUAAGAUUGCGACACGGAAUUUCACCAUUCUCGCUGCUAUUUAACAGAAUUGAGCAUGUACAAUGUCAGAAAUAUAUAUAAAGCGACUGAAUUCAUACGGGAAUGAAUAAAGAGAAUUGCUUUGUAGAAAAAUAUAUACAAAAUAUACAAAAUCACACAGAGAAUGUAAAAAAGCAUUGUCUGAGUGACAUGCAUGCUUAUUUUGUAUUAUAUGAACCAUUGUUUUCCGAAAAAUAGGAAACAUUUUAUGUGAUAAAAUGAAAUAAAAAAUAAGUUUAAAUAAAUUAUUAUUUCAAAAAUGAUAUUAAUUUCGACUAUUAUAUUAUAUCAAUUUCGACUAUUGUAAAAUGAAGAUGUGCUAAAUGAACUUAAAUGUGCUCUUAUAAACACUUCCAUUCAUUCCUUCCAUUUCUUAAAAAAAAUUAAUGACCUUCAUGAAAUAUGCAUAUUCGCAUUAUUUCGUUAUCAUUUCCAUAUUUGUACCAAUAGAAUUUCUAUGACACAUGCAUAUGUACAUACAUACUUAUAUUAUUUCUUUGGCACUUCCUUAGGGCUAUAUAGAAAUUUUAUAGAUGGUAUGUAUUAAAAAAUCUAUGAAAAUUGCAUACAGCCUUACUUAAUGUGUUAAUGUAAACAAAAAAAUUUCAAAAUGUUGGGGGCGGUAUUUUAAAUGUCAAAAAUGUGUACAAAGUUUGAAAUGAAUUGGUCAAGUGGUUUUGGUUAAAACUCAGUAAAGAUUUAUCAUUCCUUACCUCUGGUGGGGGGAAAUGAAACGUCUUAUAUUACGUGAGAAAUCUUUCACUCUGGUUUUUAUUUAGUAUUUUCCUUGCUUAUAUACAAAUUUUAAAACUAUCUUAAAUAACUAAAUAUAUGUGUAUGUUUGUAUGUACUGCAGCAUAUUGUUUAUUGCUGUUUGACAUGGGGUUGUUUUCAAGUGUACAAUUUAAUACAUGUGUGUGUGUGAUGUUAUCUCUUCUGUAAAUUUAUGACUUGUGUCCCAAUGCAUUUUUAUUACUAUUAGUCGACUAUUACACGAAGCAACAUUUGUUGCGGCAACUCUUGGUUUAUAGGGGUGCAACGAGGAGAGGAGAAUCGCGCCGAGUUUCCAGUGUUCAGAAACACGCUUUGUGUUCUUAUUCGUAACAGUUCGCUGCAACGUUUUUCGGCAUUCGUUUUCUUUCUUUCGUAGUACAUAGUUGCAUUUGCGUAUCUUUUUUUGAAAUCAAUAUUUUGAAUAUAUUUAAAAAAUUUAAUUUCAUCUUUUGGUCAGUAAUUUGCAAAUAUGUAUACAAAUAUGCAUAAUAUAAUAUAAAUAUUUUAGAAAAUGGAGUAUGACGAUAAAAUCGAAUUAAUAUAGAUAUUGAUUCAGACGAUAGUGAAAAGGGUGAAAUAUGACAAGGUCUGUUAUAUAAUCUUUGUUUUAAUUUUGAAUGAUAAAUAAAAUGUAUUUCUUAAUUGACAGAACUGAUUAAUAUAGUAUGUGAUAGAGUGGCCCAAAUACCUAUAAGGAAAAAGAAACGAAAAUGGGUUAAAGUAAAAAGUAGACAAUUUGUUAAAGUAAAGUGAAAGAGAAUGAGAAAAAAACUCGAACAGAGUUGCGCAACACAAGUUGCUCGUGUGAAGGUAAUGGGCGACAGCAAAAAAGAAUCGCCCGAGAAUUAGCAACAAAAGUUGCUUCGUGUAAUAGCCGACUUAGAUGUGCAUUGCAUGUAAAUGCAUUAUGUAUAUAUGUAUGUAUGUACGUAUAUUAAUAUAUAAAAAGAUAUUUAUAUCUAGUAGAAUUUCGGCUUUGCCGAUAAAUAAGCAUGUUCAGUUAUAUUUGAACAGGUUUUGAAAUGACAAUGAAUACGGACUAGUAGUUUUGAGAAAAAGUCGUCUAAAGUUUGUGAACUAAAAAAGUGACGAAACACAAAAUUGCCCUAUAUUGUCAAAAGUGUGCACAAUAAUGUAUAAAAGAAAUUGCGACCUGCAUCCUGGCCGCCAUCCGAAAA